CUCUGCGGCCACCACCGCCCUGGACACGCCCGGCCUCGCCUGAUCUCGGAAGCUGAGCGGGGUCGGGCCUGGUCAGGGCUUGCGUGGGAGACCGCCUGGGAAUACCGGGUGCUGUGGAAU
rnacentral:rRNA from 1 species